AUCUCCCGGCCCUCACGCAACCCUGUUACCGUUUUCCCCAUCCCCCAAAAUUCACUUCUACUUAUCGACAGCCUUAUUUCUCCAAAACCUUUCAGUUCUCCCUAGCGCAGCCAUCUUCCGUUCUUCCCCAUCCUCCUUCUCCGUUCUUUUUCCACUCUAGGAAAUCCACCGAAAAAAGAAGAAGAGAAGCAAAUAUGGGUUUCUUGAUAGAAGCAAAAAUUGAACAAACCUGGAGUUCUUAAUCCUAGGAUUCAAAGCUUUGCAAUGGGUCCUCAUCCAAUUGAAUAAAUAACUUCGCAAUACGAUGGUGAAAGUUCUCACAAUGAAUCUCCUGACUAUAAGAAUGACUACAAUGAUAGUACUGCUUGGGACAAAGUCUUUGUUGAACCAAACGUAUCUAAUGAUGCAUCUAUAGUGGAAGUAGAGUCUGAUGGAGAUAGUGAAGGGGGUAAAUGACCUACUUUUAGGGCAGUUACUGAGAUGAAAGAUCCUACAUUUACUUUAGGAAUGACUUUUGCUAGUAUGCAGGAAUUUAAGGAAGCUGUCCAUAAUUAUGCUUUUAAAAAUGGAAAAGAUUUAAAAUCUGUCAAAAAUGAUAAAGAAAGGUUCAUAGUUAAGUGCAAAAGUGAAGGUUUUCCAUGGAAAAUAAGCCUUAGAAAAGUAAAGAAUGCUUUGUCUUGGAGGAUUCUGGGUAUUAAGGCUAAACAUGAUUUUUGUGCUUGGAUGUUUGAGAACCAACUAGUUAAUUCUACAAAGGUAGCCAAGAGGUGGAAGAAAGAAAUUCAAGCUCAUGAAGAAUGGAAUAUGGAACGUUUUAGGAAGAAUGUAUGCGGUGAUGAGGGAUUUCAUUUGUCUAAAAGGCUGGCAUAUAGAGCACUUGCAAAGGCUAAGAAGAUAAUCCAAAGGGAUGAAGAAGAAAAAUUCAGCAAGCUUUGAAGUUAUGUGGAAGAAAUUAAAAGAACUAACCCUUUGUCAACUUGUGUGGUGAAAUUGAGUGAUUUCACUGAGCUUAGUGGACAACAAAGGUUUCUAAGGAUGCAUAUAUGUUGGGAGGGGUGCAAGCAAGGAUUUCAAUAUUGCAGACCAAUUGUAGGUGUAGAUGGCUGCCAUUUGAAAACUGCUAUUGGAGGUCAGAUGCUUAUUGUAGUAGGAAUAGAUGCAAAUGAUAGUAUUUUUCCUUUGGCAUAUGCUAUUGUUGAGAGUGAAACAAAGGAAGCAUGGUGUUGGUUUUUACAACUGCUGAAAGAAGAUUUGAGAAUUAAUGAAGAAUCUGAGCAUCAGUUUACAUUAAUUUCAGAUAAACAAAAAGGACUAAUUCCUGCUUUUCACAUAGUUUUACCAAGAGUAGAACAUAGAUUUUGUGUAAGACACCUCUAUGGAAAUAUGAAAGUUGUUGGUUUUCAUGGGAAGGCUAUUAAAGAUGCACUUUGGACUUGUUCUUGGGCAUGUACUGUUAACUCAAAAAACAAGGUCACAAGUGUAGGAGCUGUCCAGAAAAUCCAAAAACUAAACAAAAACAUGAAAAGAGUUAGGAGCAAUAUUCCAAUAGUUGAUCAAGACUCAAUGACAGAACUUGAAUUUAUACGGGACUCAAAUGAAGAUUGUGCAAAUUUGAUAGAGCCAAAUAUUUUAACUCAAAGUGAUAUGGAUUUUGAAUCGUUUGGUGAUUGUAGCCAUGUUGGUGUAGACCCACACCAACUCACAAAUGAGUGAUAAGGAUAACAAGCACAGAAGUCAACAUUAUUUAGUACUAUCAUUUUUGUUAGACUAAAAGUGAUAUUUUUGUUUAUUUUGACAGUGGAUAACUGGAUAUACACUGUAAACUUGUAGUCACUUUGUGUAUGCAAAAAUGAAUACUGUCAUUUUGUCAUGGAU